CAAGUACGUGUGCUUGUGAUUUAUACAUGAACAAGGAACGAAGAGGAACAAUGAAUUUUUUAAUAUUCUUAAAAAAAUUUAACAUUUAUAAAGAAUAAUUUUUCUUUUCUAUUUUUUCUUAUUUUUUUUAUUCCAGACAAAUAUAAAAUAAAUUUGUUCAUCUCUAAAUAUGAUAAGAUUCUUUUCCAAUCCAUUCUCUAUCUUUCUGUGAUGCUUAUGAAAUCAUUAUCCCUCUUUUCAAAAGCUUCCUCUACGUAAUUAAAACAGUUGAUCUGAUGAUGAAGCAGAUGAUCUGGUGUUAUCUAUCGCAUGGAAUCCUACUAUAUAAAAGGAGCUAAAUCCUUGCUUCCUAAGCCUAUCCACAUGUGCACAAAUAUUCAGGACCAACCAAUAUGCCAGGUCAUCACGAAGUGGGCUUGCAAUUAAAAAAAACGAAAUCUUCGCGGCCCAGUCCAUAGCCUCAUC
rnacentral:lncRNA from 1 species